rnacentral:lncRNA from 1 species
UAUUAUAUAACGUGUAUCCGUUAAGUUUCGAUGACGAGACGUUUCUCGCGAUCGAAGAGGAAACGUGGACCAAUGGAAAACUGAUUGUGUCAUGCUCGAAGAGAUAAAUAUUUGAAACAUCUACUUGAAGACUGCAAUGAAGAAUCAGAGUUCGAAGACGACAGUGAAGACGAGAACUGGCUGCCGGGUGAGGCCUUAGCCGAAGAGCCGCCAUCAGAUGUGGAAACUGCAGGCGAGACGUCCGAAGGAGAAGGAGAGAGCGAUGUUGAGUCCGACGAGAGUGAAAGCGAGAGUCAAGCGGCAGGUACAUCAGCAGCGGCGAGGCAGAUGUGGCGCCAGUGGCAGAUGAAGCAGGUAUAGAAAAUGCAAAUGCGUACAUAGCGAAAGACAAAACCGUUUGGAGUAAGACGUCGCCUCAAGUACAUCAAACUCCUUCUCGCAAUGUUUUACGCCAAAGAAGUGGCUCACAUAGAUCUACAGAAACUUCAAUAGGAGAUACUUUCAAAAUAAUUAUUACAGUCGAAAUGGUAGAUCUUAUUGUUUGGUAUACUAACAAGAAAGCCAACACAGUAUAUGAUAAUUAUAACGCGAAGAAUUCGCGGAUUCGCAGCGAUUGUGGAUGCCAGUAACUAUAUAAGAAAUGUAUGCGUUUAUUGGGGUUUUAAUUUGUUCUGGGGUUAAUAAUUCAAAUGUUGAUCAUACAAGUGAAAUGUGAAAAAGUAUUUUGUACCCUCUUUACCGCGCGUCAAUGGGUAUCGGCAAAUUUUGUUCUAAUGUGAUUUAUUCGAUUCGACGACGUCGAUAGACGCCAGACACAAGCAGAAAAGGAUAAAGCUGCUCUUAUACGUGACAUUUGGACAAUUCGAACUUGAGUAAUAUGUACAAGCCGACAGUAAAUUUGACAAUUGAUGAGCAGCUUUAUCCUUUUUCCGAGGCCAGACAAAGUUUACGCAAUAUAUACCUUCGAAGCCAGCUAAGUACGGGAUCAAAAUUUGGUGGAUUUGCGAUGCCGAGAAUGCCUACCCUCUGUAUGGGAUUAUUUACUCAGGAAAAACUGGAAAUGUUCGUGAAAAAAAUCAAGGAGAGUUGUAAAAGAACUUGCAGCAUCAUUCAAAGGGAGUGGCAGAAAUAUUACCAUGGAUAAUUAUUUUACUACUUUGCCUCUUGCUAGACACUUAUUGCCAUGGAAAUUAACUAUUGUUGGUACUUUGGGAAAAAAUAAGCCUUACAUUCCAAAACAAAUGGCUCCCUAUAAAUCUAGAGAAGAAUAUUCUACUCUCUUUGGUUUGGUACAAACAUGUUGCACUCUGCUCGUACGUGCCGAAGAAAAACAAAGCUGUAGUUUUACUAUCGACAAUGCACUCUGAUUCUGUUGUAAAUGACGAUGAAAAGAAAAAGCCUCACAUGAUCACUUAUUAUAAUAAAUACAAAACUAGGCAUAGAUACAAUGGAUCAAAUGGUAAGGCGAUAUAUCACACACAGGCGCACUGAGAGAUGGCCUCUUGCUGUGUUUUUCAAUAUCUUAGACGUAGGCGCUCUUGCUUCAUAUAUAAUUUAUUAUGAGAACAACAAAAUGAUCCAAAAGAAAAUUAAUCAGCGACGUACUUUCUUGCGUCAACUGAGUGAGGAACUGGCAAAACCUUUAAUUGAAGGUCGUUCUGUGAACUACAAUACAAAAAUUGUGAUUGAGAGCGUGAUCGGGUGUUACGUCCACGUAACUUUAAACAACAUUUCUAAAUUCGAUCAUAAAUUCAACAAUAACGUUUAUUUCAACAAUAACGUUUAGACCGGAUAUUUUGGCCACUUGAUCCUCGGUCUAGACGUAAUAAAUAUGACACCGAAUGCUUCUUCAUCGGAGAAGAUUAAAAGAACAAUGGAUAGAUAAUAAAUACCAUAACCGCGAUUAUUGAUUAUCACUCUUAUAUCAUGAGAAACAUCUUUCCCCUACUACUAAUAAGAUGACAAGAACUCGCGCGGGGGUAUCUCACCACCUUAUCUCACCUGCUUAUAAAAGGCGACGCGCAAACCAGUGGAGCGAUUCAGUCAUAGACUCAUUGACUCAUUCAUUCAUUCAUUCAUUCAUUCAUUCAUUCAUUCAUUCAUUCUUGCAUCAAAUCACUUCACGACUCAAACACACAGAGAAAACACUCUUAACACUCUGAUCAAUUGACUCUCAACUGUAAAAGUUUAAAAUCUAAUUCACACAAACCAGUCCGUCCCGAGGUAAAUUAGUUAAAUCUAUUGACCUCAAAAAAGGAUAAACACAUAUACAUUCACGAUUCACGACGUGACACGGGCUACAGCUUGCUCCUUCCGCUGUUUCUGAAGAACAAACUCAACCUCGAGACAGUACUGGUAGGAAAAAAAAUUACAGGUUCUUGUCAUGUUUGCUACAAAGAAACGAUCAAAAGACGCAGGAAAACGCGAAAAUGUUGUUCAGUUUGCGAAAAGCCUGUUUGCGAUGAACACUGUGUAUCGACAAUUAAAUGUAUUGAU